GUCAGGACGCAUCGUCAAGGCUUCCUCUCUUCAUCAGAGUCUACAACCCUUUUGAUGUACGACCGGAGCUCGACAAACGCCAUCACACAAACGCCUCCCCACAAGGUGGUCUGCGCUCAUUGUACACUAGACAGACGUUGCCUGGGACAGGAGGGAUGGGUGGUAUAGCAAAUGUAGGAAGGAAAAGGGAGGAGAGUUGAGUGUACCGGAAUGGGUUUAAUGCCUUGACGGGCACAGCCCAACCACCGAUUGCAUACGCCUCUCCCUAGCCUUCAUUCUCAUGUCUACCUCUUUUUCUCUCUGUUGCAUCCUCCAUGGAUGUAUGAUAGAUCGAGCAAUUUCUACUCACACAUAGCUAUAUGAAAUAUAAAAAGAGAAAAUUUAAAAAAAAUUGUUU